CCUACGGGUGGCAGCAGUGAGGAAUAUUGGUCAAUGGACGCGAGCCUGAACCAGCCAAGUAGCGUGAAGGAUGACUGCCCUACGGGUUGUAAACUUCUUUUAUACAGGAAUAAAAUGAAGCACGUGUGCCUUUUUUUUUGGACUUUAUGUAUAAGGAUCGGCUAACUCGGUGCCAGCAGCCGCGGUAAUACGGAGGGUCCGAGCGUUGUCCGGAUUUAUUGGGUUUAAAGGGAGCGUAGUUGGGUUGUUAAGUCAGUUGUGAAAGUUUGCGGCUCAACCGUAAAAUUGCAAUUGAUACUGGCAGUCUUGAGUACAGUUGAGGUAGGCGGAAUUCGUGGUGUAGCGGUGAAAUGCUUAGAUAUAACGAAGAACUCCGAUUGCGAAGGCAGCUUACUAAACUGCAACUGACACUGAGGCUCGAAAGUGUGGGUAUCAAACAGGAUUAGAUACCCUGGUAGUC
rnacentral:rRNA from 1 species